rnacentral:rRNA from 1 species
GAGCUUGCUCUCUGGGUGGCGAGUGGCGGACGGGUGAGGAAUACAUCGGAAUCUACUUUUUCGUGGGGGAUAACGUAGGGAAACUUACGCUAAUACCGCAUACGACCUACGGGUGAAAGCAGGGGAUCUUCGGACCUUGCGCGAUUGAAUGAGCCGAUGUCGGAUUAGCUAGUUGGCGGGGUAAAGGCCCACCAAGGCGACGAUCCGUAGCUGGUCUGAGAGGAUGAUCAGCCACACUGGAACUGAGACACGGUCCAGACUCCUACGGGAGGCAGCAGUGGGGAAUAUUGGACAAUGGGCGCAAGCCUGAUCCAGCCAUACCGCGUGGGUGAAGAAGGCCUUCGGGUUGUAAAGCCCUUUUGUUGGGAAAGAAAUCCAGCUGGUUAAUACCCGGUUGGGAUGACGGUACCCAAAGAAUAAGCACCGGCUAACUUCGUGCCAGCAGCCGCGGUAAUACGAAGGGUGCAAGCGUUACUCGGAAUUACUGGGCGUAAAGCGUGCGUAGGUGGUCGUUUAAGUCCGUUGUGAAAGCCCUGGGCUCAACCUGGGAACUGCAGUGGAUACUGGGCGACUAGAGUGUGGUAGAGGGUAGCGGAAUUCCUGGUGUAGCAGUGAAAUGCGUAGAGAUCAGGAGGAACAUCCAUGGCGAAGGCAGCUACCUGGACCAACACUGACACUGAGGCACGAAAGCGUGGGGAGCAAACAGGAUUAGAUAACCUGGUAGUCCACGCCCUAAACGAUGCGAACUGGAUGUUGGGUGCAAUU